AACGAACGCUGGCGGCAUGCCUAACACAUGCAAGUCGAACGAGACCUUCGGGUCUAGUGGCGCACGGGUGCGUAACGCGUGGGAACCUGCCCUUAGGUUCGGAAUAACUCCCCGAAAGGGGUGCUAAUACCGGAUAAUGUCUUCGGACCAAAGAUUUAUCGCCUUUGGAUGGGCCCGCGUUGGAUUAGCUAGUUGGUAGGGUAAAAGCCUACCAAGGCGACGAUCCAUAGCUGGUCUGAGAGGAUGAUCAGCAACACUGGGACUGAGACACGGCCCGGACUCCUGCGGAAGGCAGCAGGGGGGAAUAUUGGACAAUGGGCGAAAGACUGAUCCAGCAAUGCCGCGUGAGUGAUGAAGGCCUUAGGGUUGUAAAGCUCUUUUACCCGGGAUGAUAAUGACAGUACCGGGAGAAUAAGCUCCGGCUAACUCCGU
rnacentral:rRNA from 1 species